UAUGAUCUGAAGUCAGGUGGGAUUAACCCGCAAAUU
rnacentral:rRNA from 1 species